GGAGUGAUGAAGAGCUGUUUCCAUCACUACAGCGAUCUCUCCUACACUAUAAUACGUGAGAGUUUAACACUUACUUACAUAUGUAUUAAUUACAUCGAUUAGCCAUAACAUUAUGACCACCUGCAUAAUAUUGUGUUGGUCCCCCUUUUGCUCCCGAAACAGCCCUGACCCGUCCUGCACUGUGUAUUCUGACCCCUUUCUAUCAGAACCAGCAUUAACUUCUUCAGCAGACCGACCAUGACCCUGUCUCCGGUUCACCACUGUCCCUUCCUUGGAGCACUUUUGAUAGAUACUGACCACUGCAGACCGGGAACACCCCACAAGAGCUGCAGUUUUGGAGAUGCUCUGAUCCAGUGGUCUAGCCAUCACAAUUUGUCCCUUUUGGUCAAACUCAAAGCUCAAAUCUUUACACUUGUCCAUUUUUCCUGCUUCUAACAUCAACUUUGAGGACAAAAUGUUGACUUGCUGCCUAAUAUAUCCCACCCACUAACAGGUGCCAUGAAGAGGAGAUAAUCAGUCUUAUUCACUUCACCGGUCACUGGUCAUGAUGUUUUGGCUGACCGGUGUAAAGAUUUAAUAUGUAUUAGUAUUAAUGUUGUAUUUAAUAAAUGUGAAUAAUUCUCUUAACAGAAAACAUUGUGAGUGAAUGUGUCAUCAACAAAGGUAAUUUAUAUCAAUUUAUCUAUUUAAUAUUUAAUACAGGAAAUAAAAAUCUGUCUAUCUAUCUAUCUAUCUAUCUAUCUAUCUAUCUAUCUAUCUAUCUAUCUAUCUAUCUAUCUGUCUGUCUGUCUGUCUAUCUAUUUGUUUGUUUAUUUAUGUAUUUCUAGAAUGCGUGACUUGUUUCAUGAUGGUGUACAGCAGCAGCAACCAACAAUGCCUGCAGAAGUUCAUGCGUCUUUUUGGUUUGACUCCUGUUGAGCAGAAACAGGCGAAAGACUUCUUCAUCUGCAGCAUCAAUGCGCUGAUAUCAUUAACGGCACAAUGUUAAAAGUCGAAGUGAAUUAUCUUUAUCAGAUAUUUAUUUAUUGAUUACAUGGCCAAUCAUCUGAGAUCGUAGUAUUCAGUGAUAUUAAUAUGUAUUAUUAUAUUCAUUCUCUUUAAAUUAUCUCUUUGUAAUUGAAUAUGAUGAAGAUUGUUAUUAAGGGUGAAUUAGAAUUAGAAAUAACUAAAUAUUAUUAUUUUAUCUGUCUAUCUCAGUAGGUGAAAUUAAAUGGUGAUCUCAAAAUGCAGCUGUAUUUAUUUCUCUGAGUGUGUGUGCAUGUGUGUGUGUGUGUGUGUGAAACUCAUUAAUUCACAAUUAAGCAAAUAAAUGGUAAAGAGAAGCAAAGAGAAGCAAAACAUUACUAAGCUGGAGAGAGAGAGAGAGAGAGAGAGAGAGACAGAAAGAGAGAGAGCGAGAGAAAGAGCGAGAGUAAGACAGAAAGAGAGAGAGCGAGAGAAAG